UACGUAGGGGGCAAGCGUUGUCCGGAUUUACUGGGCGUAAAGGGCGCGUAGGCGGCCUUCUAAGUCAGACGUGAAAUCCCCCGGCUUAACCUGGGAACUGCGUCUGAUACUGGAGGGCUUGAGUGCGGGAGAGGGAUGUGGAAUUCCAGGUGUAGCGGUGAAAUGCGUAGAUAUCUGGAGGAACACCGGUGGCGAAGGCGGCAUCCUGGACCGACACUGACGCUGAGGCGCGAAAGCGUGGGGAGCAAACAGG
rnacentral:rRNA from 1 species